rnacentral:lncRNA from 1 species
CCAAUUUGGCUAUAUAAGCAAGUACGCUCUUGUCUGGUGUAAUCAUUCACAGUUAUAAGGCUCAUAGUCAAGUACAAUAUUGAUACAUCAAUACAAUCAAGAAAGAGAAACCUAUAGAAAAAGAAACAUAGAUCAAAUGGAGAGUGAGAAAAUGUGGGGAGGCUUAAUGAAUAGAGUGAAACCAUACUUAGCAAUGAUAUCUAUGCAAUUUGGUUAUGCCGGUAUGUACAUAAUCACCAUGGUCUCUCUUAAGCAUGGCAUGAACCAUUACAUCCUGGCCGUUUACCGCCACGCAAUCGCCACGGUCGUCAUCGCGCCGUUUGCUCUAUUUCAUGAGAGGUAUAUAUAUAACUCUUUUUGUCUUAUUUGUGAAUUAACUGACAGAAAAUUCUACACCAAAGCUCUAUAGUAGAAAAAGAGUAUGUCAAUUAACAUAGCAUUAACUACUAUACUACCAUAAUUUCGAUGUCUAUGUAAGUUUUGCCGUAUCUAGGUCAUACAAACAUGUUAAAUCUUAUAACUUAAUAAAAUCAAGUAUGUAAUUUUUUUAUUGUUAUGCGUAUGCAGGAAAACAAGGCCGAAGAUGACGUUCCGGAUAUUCCUUCAAAUUGCGCUGCUCGGAUUUAUUGAGUAAUACUCGUCCAUUAGUCUCAUAAUACAUUCACAACUAAACACUAUAAGAACAAUCUCCGCAUAUUUUUUGAAGUUCUUAUAUAGUUAAUAAAUAUAUUAGUAGUAGUGAUAAUUAAAUAAAAAGGUCAUUAAAUGGGUGUUACUAAUGUGGCUCGUCGUCGGGUUCAUCAGGGUUGGAGAGAUCGAUUGAUUUUAAGUUGCGCCUGGUUUAGGGUUUAUGUGUGACGGAUUUUAGGUUAAGUUUUGUCUCAGGGUUUUGGAGUCUAUCGUGCUGAUAACGUGUUGUAAUUAGAGAGUUUAGAGACUGAAUACUUGAUCAAGGAGGUUCCUUUAUAUAAGGAUUACAAGAUGAAGAUAAAUGGAAAGUAUCCAAAAUCUAAACACACUAGGAUUAGAAAAACUACUAAUACAUAAUAAUGGAAAGAUUACAUCUAUUAGGAAAAAGAAAGGGUUUUCUUUUCUCCAAGCUUUGUGGCUCUCUCUCUCUCCUAAAGUCGGCUCUCUCUCUCCUCUCUCUAGGGCUUCGGCCGUCUCUCCAUCUUCUAGGUUUUGGGCCGGUCUUGGACCGGGCCUGGUUAAUGGCAAUCCACUCCAUGAUUUAUAACAGUUUCUUAUAUAUCGUUGAUAGAAUAUUUUGAAUAUUGUGGAAACUAAAUUAUCACUACUUGGCCAGUCUGGACUUGGAUUUCGGCCCAAGUGGUUUACAUGGUGGGCCAUAACAGAUGAUUGGUUCACCUCCUGGCAUUAGUCGGAAGAUAUUUCAAACUCAGGUCAGGCAGUGUGGUACGCUUUCGGGCUAGUCCACUCUGUAGCACUAAGUGCGUUCCUCUCGGGGUCAACCGGAUCAGCCGAUAAGAUUUAUAAAAAAAAAUAUAUAUUUUGAAUAUUUACUAUAUUAAUUUAUUUUCCUUAGUUCGAUCUCUUGAAAUAGAUACAACUAGAGUUUCGUACACAUGUCCGUGUAUUUGGUUAAUAGAAUAGAUAUAUGAAUUAAUGUAAUGGUUGCACAAACAUGCGUCCCAUGUUUGUUCAAUUUAUAAUAUAUAACAUUUAUAAUUGAUCGACGGUAUUUAAUUGCCUAUAAGUUGUUGAUUGUUCAUAUUGUGAUUAGAUAUAAAACAAAUCAAAAUAAUAUGUUAUAUAAUAUAUUCGUCAAUUAGUAUUUUUAACUAUAGUAACCAUUUUUAUGUAUUUUAUUUUUAUUUUAAUUAAAACACCAAUUAUUAUAUUUAUGUAUAUUAUUAUAUAUAUAUUUCCAAAAAUGUAUUUAUGUUUCAAUAAGAUAGAUAGAUAUAUCUCUAAGUUUUUUUAUAUGCAAAAUAAAUUUUACUUCUAUGUUCAGUCUUGUGGAAAAUAUUAAAUUAAAAUUUGUUUGUUGUAUUCUUAUAAUCAAAAAUAUGUGUGUGUGUGUGUUAAUUAUAUUAAUCAUAAAAUAAUUUAACAUAUAUUUGAAAACUAACUAUAUAUGUUUUAACAAAAAAAUUAUUGUUUAUAUUUUGUAUGUGAAAUGACAUAAUAAUAUACAUGAACAUAUAGCAUUUAAAGGUUGUAGUCACAUUUUCAAUAAAUUUGUUUAAUUUAUUGUAAAAUCUUUUUGGAGAAUAAUCCGGUUAAAGGGUAACUGUAAUUUUGAUUAUAGAAUAAUAUAAUAAAAUAAAUGAUUUUUAGUUAAUUAACUAAAUUUUGGAUAGAGAAAAACCUAACAAAAUAAUUAAUUAAUUAAUAGUUACUAAUUCAGUGGCACACGUUGGUAAAUAUUAAGGUGAAUUAAAUGUUAUUUUCAAAAGAUACAUCAAUUUUAAUAAUAUAGACUCAUAGUUUAUUGAAUGGUAUAUAAUAUAAUCAAACAAAAAGUAAUGAAAAAUAUGACUGAUUUAGAUGAGCCAAUGAUAAUUGUUAAUGUUUUAUCUAAAUUUUUUAAUCUUAUAUUAAAUUAAUAGGAACAAAGUUUUUUUCUUAAUUACUAUUUUAUAUAUUGUUUUAAAAUUUUAGAAAUUGUCUUAAAUAGCCACAAAACAUGCUUUUAUUUCCAAACUAGACCACAAGGUUUAGAGUGAUCAAAAUAUAUAUCAUUAAAGGGGUAAAUGACAGUGAUACAUUUUUCUACAGAUAUAUUAAAUAAAUAAAUAUUUAAAUGAAAAAAAUUUCGAAUUUUACUAUGAAACGACUAAACAUUUUUGGAAAACCUUCCUAAAUGUAUAUGAUAUCUACAUGCAUUUGAAUUAUAUGCAUAUUUAGGAAAACAUUACUGAAUAAAUAUAAUAUUUCUUAAAAUUUAGGAAUAUAUUAAUAAUAUGUAUAAUAUCUUCAUAAAGUUCAUGAAAAUUUUCAUAAAUGUGUAUUUAAGAAUACAUUCUGAAUUGAAUAUUUAGGAAGAUCUUCGUAGAUAUAUAAUUUAUAAAUAACUUACUAAAUUUGAAUUAUAUGUAUAUUUAGUAAGAUAUUCUUGAAUAUGUAUAACAUAUUCUUAAAGUUAUGGGAAGACUUUUCUGAAUUUGAUAUCUAAAUUUUAUAAAUAUUUAAAUAUGCAUAUAAAUCAAAUUCAAGAAGAUGUUAUACACAUUUAGGAAGACCUUCCUAAAUACAUACAUGUUACAUUAAAGAAGUCUAAUUGCAAGUUUAUGAAGGUAUUUCUGAAUUUAUUAAAAAUAAAAUUGAAAAAUUCUGGAAGAUAUCCUACAUAUUCAUGAAUAUUUUCCUAAACUAUUUUUAAGAAAAAAUGUUUUUCAAAUUUUUUUUGGGGAGAAACUAGAAAAAAAAAUUAGAAUGUUAUUUUUUGGAAAAGUAAAAUUGUGAAUAAAGGUAUAAAUAUCAUUUAUAUAUAUAUUUGAUAAAUAAAUAAGUAAAAUUAUAAAUGAAUGUAUAAUUAUCAUUUAUCCAUUUAACAAAAUUUAAUUUGGUCAUUUUAAUAAUUAGAGACUAUUUACGAAUUUGAAGAUUUGCCUUUUUAAUUUUGUUUUGUUUUGUUUUACACUAACGUUUUCCAGGCGCCUUUGGUAGUUUAUUUCAAAACCAAAUAUCAUUGUAAAAUGCAUGUUUAGAUUUAUAGGUUUUUAACGUACAUUAAAUGAGUUAUGAAUGGGUUGUUCUGGUGUUCAAAAAAAGAAAAGAAUAGAUUGUUCUAUGUUACUUGUCUAUAUGUUAUGCUUUUAACUAGACUUUAGAUCUAGUAGCUAAUAACAAAAGUGUUUUUUUGACAAAAUAAAUGAUAAAGUAAAUGAAAAUCAUCUUGUGGUUUAAUUAAUUAAUGGGAUAAAAUACAUAAUUUGGAAAUUUAAACUAACAGCAUGUUAUAAUUAGUAAUUGCCACAAACAUUUUCGCUUCAUACAAACAACUAAAAAAGUUAAACCAUCUGACUUAUAGUCCACCAUUGAAAGUCCUUGUGAUCUUAAUGGUUACGUUUUAUUUUCACAAGCUUACUCACAUGUAUUUUUUCUGCAUAUUGUACGAACAGACAAAUUUAGUAUUUGGUAAUAAGCUGAUAAACCAAUUAGCCUUUGGAUGACAUGGUGUCCACUCUUCAAACCACCACAAAGUUCCCUAUCUAUUAUCGGCGACAAUAUCAAAUAGGAUGUAAGCCACUAAACUUAACCAUCAUUUGUUUGUACAUUAUAUUUGAAUAUAAAAUUAAAUAAGCCAUCUCAUCAGUUAAAACUCCAUAAUUCGUUUUCAACAUUCACACAGCGGAUAAUUCACGCAACGUAUCAAUGUAUCAUUCACACAGGGCCGCAAAGUGUAUUUGGAAACCAGGUAAAUAUUCCUCCCUCUAUUUUACGAAUAUAAAAGUUUUGGACAUUUUCAUGCACUUUUUAAAAAUAAUUUUACAAUAGCAAUCAAUCAUUACUGUUUCAAAUGUCAUAAUUUUCAAAAAAAAAAAUAAUUUAUUUUAAUAAUAAUGAUCUUAGCUAGUAUGAGUAAAAAGAGUAAACAAACUAAAAAUUACAUUAAAACACAUAACUCCCAUUUUUAUUAAAUGAGUAAUAAUCUUAAAUUUUUAUCUUUGAUCGGAGUAAGAAAUUAUUUUAAACUGAGAGAGCCACAUUUCAUGUUACUUGGACUCGAAGCAGUCGCUGAUCACACCUUUUGUUUUUCCAUAUUAGAGCAUCGCCAAUGAGGAACAUCAUUUUGGGGAUGGAUAAUAUUUAAAAUGAAAGUUCGAGGAUGAAUUGUUCCAAAACCUACAUAUUUUUUGAAUUUGUUAAUAUAUUACAUUUUAAUAUUUAGCUUUAAUAAUAAUCAAUUAUAAGCACUAAAAUUUUAUAAGUAAGUAAUAAAUAUACAAUUAAAACAUCAAAUUGAGAUUUUAGGAUUUUCUUAUAUUGUAAAACCAAAAAUUCAUAUAUGAGUCAUAAACCAAACAUCAAAUUUGAGAUUUAAGGAUUUUCUUAUUUUUGGUUUUACAAUAUUUAUGACUCAUAUAUGAACUUUUGGUUUUACUGAUAAUAUAUAUUUGAGUAUUAAAGUGAAAUAUUAUUAUAAAAAUUAAAGUGAUACCUAAAUAAUAUUAGUAGAAUAAUAUGUAAGUUAUAUAAUUAUAAAGAAUAAAAUGAAAAGUAAAUAAUUUUUUGAGGUUUUGAAUAGUAAAACAUCAAAUUUGAGAUUUUAUUAUUCAGACACUCAAAAAUUUGAAAGUUUAAAAAUUUGUUGGAAAAGUUAAAAACUUAAAAUUUGAAGGUUUAAGAACAUGUUGGAGAUGCUCUUAGCUGAUCAAAAUUGAGGAGAAAUUUCGAAAAAAGAUGCGCUGGGAUGGGUUGUUAAUUUUUCCAAUUCCAUAUCAGCUGGCUACUUGGACCAUCUAUAAUCCGGGUUACACUGAACACUUACAUGACAUCCUGAUUAUUACCGUAGUCGAAUAGCUCUAACACUCGUUGGGAGAGGACUCCCACUAAAUUAUACGCCCUCUGUUUGAAUUUUUUAAUUAGUCAGUGUUUAAGGUUUUUACACAACUAUUAAGAAAUUGUUAACUUUUAUUCAUUUUGCAUUAGUUAAGCUUAAUCCAACUAAAAAUUAUUCAAUAAAAAGUUAGUCAAAAACACCAAAUAACAUUAAAAUUUUGCAUAGAAAUUUGAAAAUAUUAUUUAAAUUGAAACAAAAAUAAAUAUUAAAACGCCAACUAAAAAGAAAAGAGGGAGUAUAUAUUAGUGGAUUCAGAUAUCCGUGACUAAAUUUAUUGAUUCUUUUAAAAUGAUAAUCCCACACGUUACUCAUUGUAAUGAAGCCAAUUAGCAUAAUGAAAUAUAAGAAAAUCCUUUGAAAAUAAAAUAAAAAUAUGUAAUAUUAUUUAGAUUAUAUGUUAUAUAUAUGAUAUAUUACAAGUAGCAACAAGAGAUGAAUAGUUUCGUGAAUAUUCAGGUUGAUACAGAAUUUUCUUAGAUGUGUGAUGAGUGGACAAAAAUGAAUGAUGUUUGCAAGUUGAUUAUAUAUUAUAUAAUGUAAGUGCAUGCUUUUGAUUCUCGAAACUAUUUGCUUAUAACUUACGGAUAUAUAAGUUAUAUAUAAGUUCGGCUUGGACGUAAAAGUCUAAAUAUAAUUUGUUAUACAUUGCUUGCUACACUACAUUCUUUUUAUUGGUACGAUACUUUAUGAUUCGUUAUCACUAUAUUAUUACUACCUUGACAAAAACAUUAUUAAUUAGUGAUCUUAGAUGCUAAUAAACCAGCCAUCUUGAUUAUGCAAAUAUGUAUUCCAAAAAAGAAGCAACAUUGCUCUUCAUACGCAAGUCUUUAUAACCAAUAGUCCAAAUAAUUAAUAAAUUAUAAUAGGUGUGUAACCAAAGAAACUUACGAGAUACGACCUAACCGGUUUGGAUCAUAUAUAUAGAACAAUACUAUAGUUAGCCACACAUAAUGGAUAAUUAUUUGAUAAAAUUAAAAAAAAUGUAUAACUAAAGUGAUGCAUAGAUAACCAAUGGCUGUAAAAAUGCACUCGUAUAUUGCCUUUUGUGUCAGCCCAAUUUGGCUAUAUAAGCAAGUACGCUCUUGUCUGGUGUAAUCAUUCACAGUUAUAAGGCUCAUAGUCAAGUACAAUAUUGAUACAUCAAUACAAUCAAGAAAGAGAAACCUAUAGAAAAAGAAACAUAGAUCAAAUGGAGAGUGAGAAAAUGUGGGGAGGCUUAAUGAAUAGAGUGAAACCAUACUUAGCAAUGAUAUCUAUGCAAUUUGGUUAUGCCGGUAUGUACAUAAU